rnacentral:rRNA from 1 species
UACGGAGGGGGCUAGCGUUGUUCGGAAUUACUGGGCGUAAAGCGCACGUAGGCGGCUUUGCAAGUCAGAGGUGAAAAGCCCGGGGCUCAACCCCGGAAUUGCCUUUGAGACUGCAUCGCUAGAAUUGUGGAGAGGUAAGUGGAAUUCCGAGUGUAGAGGUGAAAUUCGUAGAUAUUCGGAAGAACACCAGUGGCGAAGGCGACUUACUGGACACAUAUUGACGCUGAGGUGCGAAAGCGUGGGGAGCAAACAGG